rfam:Phaseolus vulgaris cultivar G19833 chromosome 8, whole genome shotgun sequence.
AAGCCGUGAUUAGGAAACCUUUUUAACAUCAAUUUAAAACGUUCCCAAGCUUCACAAGAAGGUUCAUCUGGCCCUUGCCUGAAUGUGGAGAUAUCAGAUUUAGCCU